rnacentral:lncRNA from 1 species
GGCGCUCAGCCCAGGUUUGUGGGGAAAGAUGCCUCAGACACAGAGUCUUGGGGUUACCAGAUCUUCAAAGCAGCUGAGAGAAGUUAAACAGAAAUUUAGUUCAAAUGAUCAUUUUUUUACAGACUGGAUUAUGACGUUAGGGUCAUUAUAUAGCUGCUGUAAUUGAGACUGUAUGGAACUGGCAGAAGGAUAGACACACAGAUCAAUACAACAAAAUGGGGAACCCAGAAAUAGACCACACAAAUAUGCCCAACUGGUAUUUGCU